AUGAUGAUGGAAAGCAGAAGAAUGCAGGAAUGUGGAGGGAGAUCAUCCUGGUUGCUCACUGCAACGGUAUCAGUGACUCAGCUGACCCAUAAGGUAUUUGGAAAAGGUCGGUGUUUUGUUCCUGUUUGGUUCCUACAACAUAUUUAAACCCUUCCACAUUUGUUUUUAAUUGAGAAAAUGAAAUGCCUGGAGAAUUUUCAAAUGUCUGUCUGACACCUGACCAUGUUCUCCCCUCUGGCUCAUCCAUGCGCUCAUACCCAAAGUAUUUAACCUGUCAAACCAGAUGUUUGUUAGAUAAGUACCUGCUGAGACUUAAGGUCUGUUAAGUGACUUUUCACCUGAGAAGCAGAAACUUGAGAAGCAUUUUUCUAAAAUGGCUCACUGUAAUUUUAUAUUGUCACAGGAAGACUCGUCUGACACAUCGCAGAAGGACAGAGGUGGAGGGGAUGGGAACUUUUGCUCCUAUUAACCUGGUGUUUACAGUUUAAACAGGUGAAUGGGACUGUUAUACUUACCCACAGAGUAUUCGUUUUUAAAACCAGGUCUAUUUAAGUUUGCAGUUGCUUAGGUGAUGGAUGCUUGAGAAUGUGAGCUAUUCAAGAGAGGUCUGGUUAGUACAAGCUGAUAAGAGACGUAAUACUCCCACCUCUGCUCUUCACUUGGCCUUGUAUAUUCAGGGAAAAAGGAGGCGAUGCUCACUUGAAUUAUGAGAAAUUGUUGUCAUCAUGAGCUGAUUUUUUAUUUUUAUUUUUUUUUUUGAGGAAGGGGGCAUAUCUUUCGGAAACAGAAAUGACGCGAUAUAUGAUUUAAUAAUUUUCUGUAAUCUGUCAGUGAACGGCUCACAGCUCUUGAUCUCAAAUGAAGCAGACACCCUCUGGACACAUCUCACCGCAAGAAUAUGAAGAUUUGCUAGCAAUUUUAAACCAGACAUAACCAUUCUGUAGAGAUAAGUGACUUUGUGACAAAAUGAAAAGGCAGCCUCUUAAUAGUUCAGGUCUUAGUCACCCUGUUGAAAAGGUGCCUCAUACCUCAGUCUUGUUAGCAGAAUGAGCAAACAUUCCGAUCUUACCUGUCUGGAAUCACAAACUAUUUUUUGUUCUUUGACCAAACACUAAACUGUUCCUCUCUUAACAUCCCUAUUGUACCCUAAGGUCUACUUCAGAGUGUAAUGAAACAAAAUGAUAAUUCAAAUCACAAAGCACAAGUGAUGGUGAUCUAAACAUGUAAAACAAAAUUAAAUUACCAUUUACAAUGAAAGAGUCAAUGUACAACUGUUUUCAAGACUGAUAAUAAUAAAUGUUUCUUGAGCACCA
ensembl:lncRNA